UACAGAGGUCCCGAGCGUUGUUCGGAUUCACUGGGCGUAAAGGGCGCGUAGGCGGGGAUGUAAGUCAGAUGUGAAAUCCUGGGGCUCAACCCCAGAACAGCAUUUGAAACUACAUUUCUAGAGGGUAGGCGGAGAAAACGGAAUUCCACAAGUAGCGGUGAAAUGCGUAGAUAUGUGGAAGAACACCGGUGGCGAAGGCGGUUUUCUAGCUUAUACCUGACGCUAAUGCGCGAAAGCAAGGGGAGCAAACAGG
rnacentral:rRNA from 1 species